rnacentral:rRNA from 1 species
AGUGGCGGACGGGUGAGUAAUGCUUGGGAACUUGCCUUUGGGAGGGGGAUAACAGUUGGAAACGACUGCUAAUACCGCAUAAUGUCUUCGGACCAAACGGGGCUUCGGCUCCGGCGCAAAGAGAGGCCCAAGUGAGAUUAGCUAGUUGGUAAGGUAACGGCUUACCAAGGCGACGAUCUCUAGCUGUUCUGAGAGGAAGAUCAGCCACACUGGGACUGAGAC